rnacentral:rRNA from 1 species
GAUGAACGCUGGCGGCGUGCCUAAUACAUGCAAGUCGAGCGAACAGACGAGGAGCUUGCUCCUCUGACGUUAGCGGCGGACGGGUGAGUAACACGUGGAUAACCUACCUAUAAGACUGGGAUAACUUCGGGAAACCGGAGCUAAUACCGGAUAAUAUAUUGAACCGCAUGGUUCAAUAGUGAAAGACGGUUUUGCUGUCACUUAUAGAUGGAUCCGCGCCGCAUUAGCUAGUUGGUAAGGUAACGGCUUACCAAGGCAACGAUGCGUAGCCGACCUGAGAGGGUGAUCGGCCACCCUGGAACUGAGACACGGCCCAGACUCCUACGGGAGGCAGCAGUAGGGAAUCUUCCGCAAUGGGCGAAAGCCUGACGGAGCAACGCCGCGUGAGUGAUGAAGGUCUUCGGAUCGUAAAACUCUGUUAUUAGGGAAGAACAAAUGUGUAAGUAACUAUGCACGUCUUGACGGUACCUAAUCAGAAAGCCACGGCUAACUACGU